GAGGUAGUCGGCCACGACCGUUAACCACACUAGUACCUAGUCCAGGUUUAUCGCCUAUCUGAGGGUAACCCGCACGGAAGUCCGGCCGAGGUUUCCGCCAUGGCCCCAAACGAUGUGCGCAGGGUUCCCAAGCCCACCAUACGGGUGCCACUUGGUACACCGUGCCACUGCCUACCGCAUCACAGCCCACCUCUCAGGUCAGCGCUAUGCACGGCCUCCAGCAUGACUAUAAACACCAG
rnacentral:lncRNA from 1 species